CUUGCGCAAUGGACGAAAGUCUGACGCAGCCACGCCGCGUGGAGGAAGACGGCCCUAUGGGUUGUAAACUCCUUUUAUUAGAGAAGAAUGGUGGGGAUUUGUCCCCGCAGUGACGGUAUCUGAUGAAUAAGCACCGGCUAACUCCGUGCCAGCAGCCGCGGUAAUACGGAGGGUGCAAGCGUUGUCCGGAAUCAUUGGGUGUAAAGGGUGCGGAGGCGGACUGGUAAGUCUGGGGUGAAAUCUUACCGCUCAACGGUAAAAUUGCCUUGGAUACUGCUAGCCUUGAGUGUGAGAGAGGUCGGUGGAAUUCGUGGUGUAGCGGUGAAAUGCUUAGAUAUCACGAAGAACACCUGUGGUGAAGACGGCCGGCUGGAUCACAACUGACGCGGAGGCACGAGAGCGUGGGGAGCAAACAG
rnacentral:rRNA from 1 species